rnacentral:lncRNA from 1 species
GAAAACUUGGCAUUUUUCAGUACUAACACAAUUCAGGCAUGUUUGCAUGACAUUUAGGCAUGUUUGUAUGCUUUCAGUACUGUCACAGUUCACAUGAAAAUUGGCAGAAUGUAAAUUCACAUGGCACUCUGAAUGUAAAUUCACAUAGGCAGAUUCAUGGACCAUUUAAUCAUUUCAUCCCAAGUUCACUUAAUUUUUUUUUGCAUGGAAGUUCACUUAAUAAUCUGACAUUUCAAGUUAACCAAGUGAGGAUUUGACCCAAUCUGUCUUUUUGGUAAAUUCACAUGGAAGAGUAAGUCUUUUUGAUGCUAUAUUUAAACCUUCAGAUGGAACAGCUGAAGCUCAGAUUAUUGUUUAUCACAAGGGUUGUUCAAAACUGCAGUUAUCAUGCAAUUUGACUGAUUUUGUUACUCCCAUAGAGCAAAUGUGAAAUAGUGCAAGGGCCAAGGAAAACAGUGUCAUUGCUUGGGAAUGAUGUCAAGCCGGAGAGUGGUGUUUUUCUUCCACUUUCUCUAUUCUAUCUCGAAUAAAAGUUUCCAAAAAUUAUAUCGAUUGUUUCCAAAUACUCCUCACUGAUUGUUUCCAAAUACUCCUCACUGAUUGUUUCCAAAACUAUAUUGAUUAUUUCCAAAAACUCAUUGGUUGAUUGUUUUUCAAGAAUCUUUCAUUGUAUCCAAACACUAUAUUGGUAGUUCCGAAAAACUCCUCACUGAUUGAUUGUUUUCCAGGAGUACCUACAAGAGGCAGGGUGAGGAAGGAGCAACUGUUGGAGUCACAAUAACAACAGUGGCGAUGGUGGGGAAGGAUCGAUUCCGCCACUCAGGUGGCGCGAUUCUGCCACUCAGGUGGCGAUUCCAUCGGCAAUGCUGCUAGCUCGAUCUACGGGGUGGCGAUUCUGCCACUCAGAUGGCCGGCGGCUGCAGCGGGCGAUGGAACUAGAAGAUUGAUCGCGUAGGUGGGUGGCGCCGCAGAUGGGCGCCAAAAUCGUGCUGGUGGGCGGCGGCUGCCCCCUUGCGAUGGCGCAGGCGACGGAUGGAGGAAGAAGCAGACGGGGACCUAUUUCAAACAGUCUUGGAAGUACGAGUCCUUGUUUUUUUUGCUAAAAUGCAGUCCACUAGGUGCGCGACAAUCUUUUUUGGACGGAUGGGUUAUUAUCUUGUGAAAUUCUGACCUGAAUUCCCUGUGCUUUGUGUAAAUACAGACCAAGAGAUUCUUUUGCCUUCUUCCGCACGUGCCACUUGCACGUGAGUGGUGUCUGGCAUCACUUUC